AUUGAACGCUGGCGGCAGGCCUAACACAUGCAAGUCGAACGCGUGGCGGACGGGUGAGUAAUGUCUGGGACACUGCCUGAUGGAGGGGGAUCACUAGUGGAAACGGUAGCUAAUACCGUAUACUAUCAGAUGUGCCCAGAUGGGAUUAGCUAGUAGGUGGGGUAAAGGCUCACCUAGGCGACGAUCCCUAGCUGGUCUGAGAGGAUGACCAGCCACACGGGAACUGAGACACGGUCCAGACUCCUACGGGAGGCAGCAGUGGGGAAUAUUGCACAAUGGGCGCAAGCCUGAUGCAGCCAUGCCGCGUGUAUGAAGAAGGCCGUCGGGUUGUAAAGUACUUUCAGCGGGGAGGCGUUACCCACAGAAGAAGCACCGGCUAACUCCGUGCCAGCAGCCGCGGUAAUUC
rnacentral:rRNA from 1 species